rnacentral:rRNA from 1 species
ACGGCCUUCGGGUUGUAAACUUCUUUUAGCAGGGAGAAGCGAAAGUGACGGUACCUGCAGGAAAAGCGCCGGCUAACUACGUGCCAGCAGCCGCGGUAAUACGUAGGGCGCAAGCGUUAUCCGGAAUUAUUGGGCGUAAAGAGCUCGUAGGCGGUUUGUCGCGUCUGCUGUGAAAUCCCGAGGCUCAACCUCGGGCCUGCAGUGGGUACGGGCAGACUAGAGUGCGGUAGAGGAGAUUGGAAUUCCUGGUGUAGCGGUGGAAUGCGCAGAUAUCAGGAGGAACACCGAUGGCGAAGGCAGAUCUCUGGGCCGUAACUGACGCUGAGGAGCGAAAGGGUGGGGAGCAAACAGGCUUAGAUACCCUGGUAGUCCACCCCGUAAACGUUGGGAACUAGUUGUGGGGUCCAUUCCACGGAUUCCGUGACGCAGCUAACGCAUUAAGUUCCCCGCCUGGGGAGUACGGCCGCAAGGCUAAAACUCAAAGGAAUUGACGGGGACCCGCACAAGCGGCGGAGCAUGCGGAUUAAUUCGAUGCAACGCGAAGAACCUUACCAAGGCUUGACAUAUACGAGAACGGGCCAGAAAUGGUCAACUCUUUGGACACUCGUAAACAGGUGGUGCAUGGUUGUCGUCAGCUCGUGUCGUGAGAUGUUGGGUUAAGUCCCGCAACGAGCGCAACCCUCGUUCUAUGUUGCCAGCACGUAAUGGUGGGAACUCAUGGAAUACUGCCGGGGUCAACUCGGAGGAAGGUGAGGAUGACGUCAAAUCAUCAUGCCCCUUAUGUCUUGGGCUUCACGCNUGCUACAAUGGCCGGUACAAUGGGCUGCAAUACCGCAAGGUGGAGCGAAUCCCAAAAAGCCGGUCCCAGUUCGGAUUGAGGUCUGCAACUCGACCUCAUGAAGUCGGAGUCGCUAGUAAUCGCAGAUCAGCAACGCUGCGGUGAAUACGUUCCCGGGUCUUGUACACACCGCCCGUCAAGUCAUGAAAGUCGGUAACACCUGAAGCCGGUGGCCCAACCC